rnacentral:lncRNA from 1 species
ACGUGGUAUAUGAACUUACCUGCAGUCACUGCGGCGACACCUACAUCGGAGAAACGAGCAGGCCAGUUAGACUCCGCUACAACGAGCAUCGGAGGAACGGCAUUAACAGAGAAGAGGACACUCCCCUAGGAGAGCAUGCGCUGCAUAAGCACCCUGAGAUGGAUCGACGCGACAUCUCGGUGACGGCCAAAAUCCUGCGUGUAUGCAAAGACGAAGCGGAUAGAAGAAUCGCUGAAUCCAUCUUCAUCCGAGACGCCAGGCCCAAAAUUAACGAUAACACUACAUCAUGGCAGCUUCUUCCAAAAUAAUGUAUAUAAAUGUGUGUGAAUUGGUUCUUGAAAGAUACCUAUAUAUGUACUGCUAGUUUAACUGGGGAAUUAUGUGUAGAUAUAUUUUUAAGGUAGGAACUAGGGUGAUCAAUUUGCACGGGAUCUGUGUAUUUAAAUUUCUUACUGCGACAUUACUGAAGAACUUGAGACGAAUUCGACAUUGUGUGCCUGUUAUGUGUGUAAAUAAUUACAAUCGACCGACGAAGAGCUGUGCUCGAAAUAUCUCGAUUUUUAAUACACAGACGUGCUAAUGGCGCAAUAAGAAACGGAGGCAGCAAAGGUCGGACUUAGACGCCGCAUCAGCAGUGACACCAAUGUCCCUGCCUAUCGAACGAACAUCAGUCACCCAGGCCGUGACCUCACCCAACACGGACGAAGCGCCGGUCACUGCGCGUCCAUCCAGCGCUCCCACCGCCGUCUGGCGCCCCAGUGCGGCGUCAUCGCGAUUAACUGGCCGAUGACGCCGGCCGGUGGCUGACGGGGCACCGGCGGGGAACCACGCACGGCGCGAGGGCGGUACGGUUCAGAGUAUAAAACCCCUCCGCCGACCGGGCACAGGCAGAACAGGGACAGCAGCCGAGCACAACACUCACAGUCCGCCUACCCACACCGACAACAUGAACUUCAAGCUGGUGCUUCUGCUCCUGGUGGUUCUGGUCGGCGUCGCCGCCGGGUUCGGGUUCGGCCGCAGGGGCGGCGGAUACUACGGUGGCUCCCGCGGCGGCUACUACGGCGGAUCCCGCGGGUUCGGCCGCGGAGGAUACUACGGUCGCGGCCGCGGCGGCGGAUACGGCUACGGCAGAAGGCACUACGGCUAGUCUCCCCGACCCGACCUACCGAGCUUUGACCGCGCCGCUGGUAUCCGGCGGUGGCGGCGGUGCCCCCUCGCCCUGGGGCGGCAGGGAGACGGCAGUCGCCGGACCGAGGGUGUCCGGUCCGUCAGACUCUGACCGCGCCCGGCCCACCGGUCGGUGAAGUGCCGUGUCCCUGUGUUCGUCCAGUACCCCCUCAGUGAGAGGUCCCGACCUCCGGCCGCCUGAGGCCGUCCGCCUCGCACCUCGGCUGAGAUGGAUCCCCGUCCUCCGAACACUGAUAUGCUUUGAUGCUUAUUAAUGUUGACGGAGAACUUUGUUCAACGCGACUGUCCUUUGCGAUAGAAAUAUACGUAUAAUGCAAA